GAUGAACGCUAGCGGCAGGCUUAACACAUGCAAGUCGAGGGGUAACAGGGGAGCUUGCUUCCGCUGACGACCGGCGCACGGGUGCGUAACGCGUAUAGAACCUACCUUUUACAGAGGAAUAGCCUUUAGAAAUGAAGAUUAAUGCCUCAUGGUAUUGAGUUUUGGCAUCAGAACUUAAUUAAAGAUUUAUCGGUAAAAGAUGGCUAUGCGUCCUAUUAGCUAGAUGGUAAGGUAACGGCUUACCAUGGCGAUGAUAGGUAGGGGUCCUGAGAGGGAGAUCCCCCACACUGGUACUGAGACACGGACCAG
rnacentral:rRNA from 1 species